GACGAACGCUGGCGGCGUGCUUAACACAUGCAAGUCGAACGGAAAGGCCCUGCUUUUGUGGGGUGCUCGAGUGGCGAACGGGUGAGUAACACGUGAGUAACCUGCCCUUGACUUUGGGAUAACUUCAGGAAACUGGGGCUAAUACCGGAUAGGAGCUCCUGCUGCAUGGUGGGGGUUGGAAAGUUUCGGCGGGUGGGGAUGGACUCGCGGCUUAUCAGCUUGUUGGUGGGGUAGUGGCUUACCAAGGCUUUGACGGGUAGCCGGCCUGAGAGGGUGAACGGCCACAUUGGUACUGAGAGACGGCCCAGACUGCUACGGGAGGCAGCAGUGGGGAAUAUGGCACAAUGGGCGGAAGCCUGAUGCAGCAACGCCGCGUGCGGGAUGACGGCCUUCGGGGUGUAAACCGCUUUCGCCUGUGACGAAGCGUGAGUGACGGUAAUGGGUAAAGAAGCACCGGCUAACUACGUG
rnacentral:rRNA from 1 species